rnacentral:rRNA from 1 species
UUGGAANUGGGCGCAGCCUGAUCCAGCAAAUGCCGCGUGAGUGAAGAAGGCCUUCGGGUUGUAAAGCUCUUUUGUCAGGGAAGAAACGGUCGUGGCUAAUAUCCAUGGCUAAUGACGGUACCUGAAGAAUAAGCACCGGCUAACUACGUGCCAGCAGCCGCGGUAAUACGUAGGGUGCAAGCGUUAAUCGGAAUUACUGGGCGUAAAGCGUGCGCAGGCGGUUUUGUAAGUCUGUCGUGAAAUCCCCGGGCUCAACCUGGGAAUUGCGAUGGAGACUGCAAGGCUAGAAUCUGGCAGAGGGGGGUAGAAUUCCACGUGUAGCAGUGAAAUGCGUAGAGAUGUGGAGGAACACCGAUGGCGAAGGCAGCCCCCUGGGUCAAGAUUGACGCUCAUGCACGAAAGCGUGGGGAGCAAACAGGAUUAGAUACCCUGGUAGUCCACGCCCUAAACGAUGUCUACUAGUUGUCGGGUUUUAAUUAACUUGGUAACGCAGCUAACGCGUGAAGUAGACCGCCUGGGGAGUACGGUCGCAAGAUUAAAACUCAAAAAAAUUGACGGA